rnacentral:rRNA from 1 species
AACGCUAGCUACAGGCUUAACACAUGCAAGUCGAGGGGCAUCAGGAACAAAGCUUGCUUUGUUUGCUGGCGACCGGCGCACGGGUGAGUAACGCGUAUCCGACCUACCCAUAACUCGGGCACAGCCGCUCGAAAGAGCGAUUGAUUCCCGAUAUGUCCUUGGAGUAGAUUCAAUGAUGAAAGAUUUAUCGGUUAUGGAUGGGGAUGCGUAAGAUUAGGUAGUAGGCGGGGUAACGGCCCACCUAGCCGACGAUCUUUAGGGGUUCUGAGAGGAAGGUCCCCCACACUGGUACUGAGACACGGACCAGACUCAUACGGGAGGCAGCAGUGAGGAAUAUUGGUCAAUGGGCGGAAGCCUGAACCAGCCAAGUAGCGUGAAGGAUUACAGCCCUACGGGUUUUAAACUUCUUUUAUAUAAGAGUAAUGUGCACUACGUGUAGUGUAUUGCAAGUAUUAUAUGAAUAAGCAUCGGCUAACUCCGUGCCAGCAGCCGCGGUAAUACGGAGGAUGCGAGCGUUAUCCGGAUUUAUUGGGUUUAAAGGGAGCGUAGGCGGGAUAUUAAGUCAGUCGUCAAAGCCUGUGGCUCAACCACAGCCCGCGAUUGAUACUGGUAACCUUGAGUGCGGAUGAGGUGGAUGGAAUUCGUGGUGUAGCGGUGAAAUGCUUAGAUAUCACGAAGAACUCCGAUUG